UCCACGCCGUAAACGAUGAUUACUGGUUGUGCGCGAUACACAGUGCGCGACUGAGGGAAACCAUUAAGUAAUCCACCUGGGGAGUACGUUCGCAAGAAUGAAACUCAAAGGAAUUGACGGGGGCCCGCACAAGCGGAGGAACAUGUGGUUUAAUUCGAUGAUACGCGAGGAACCUUACCUGGGCUUAAAUGUAGAGUGCAUGACUUGGAAACAGGUCUUUCCUUCGGGACUCUUUACAAGGUGCUGCAUGGUUGUCGUCAGCUCGUGCCGUGAGGUGUCGGGUUAAGUCCCAUAACGAGCGCAACCCCUAUCGUUAGUUGCCAGCGGAUCAUGCCGGGGACUCUAACGAAACUGCCGGUGUAAACCGAGAGGAAGGUGGGGAUGACGUCAAAUCAGCACGGCCCUUAUGUCCAGGGCUACAC
rnacentral:rRNA from 1 species